rnacentral:tRNA from 1 species
GGGCCCGUAGCUCAACGGCAGAGCAGCGGACUCAUAAUCCGUUGGUUGCAGGUUCGAAUCCUGCCGGGCCCACCA